rnacentral:lncRNA from 1 species
GGAGAUUGCUUUGACCAUCCGUCUAAAGCCACCACAUACACAAGAAUUAAUUAAAAUGAAGGUUUAUGUUCUGUAUCCACAUACGCAAGACACAGAUGAAAUAGCUGUGUCUCAAAUAUCCAACUGUGCCUGCUACUUAGCAGUGUCAAGGGUUAAAGCUUCACAGAUGGCCAGAGGCAGGCUGGGAUGUAUGUGCGGUGUCCUGACAUCUAUCAAUUUCUGAAAUAAAAGUGGGAGCAGUAUUUCUAUUCUGGAUCUUUUCUUGAUGUUAUAUACCUUACAUUUGGCCCAAGCAAGCCCAGAGUGUCUUUUGUGCAGAAGAGGAAAGGAAGAGGGAGCCAGAUGAAAAAUCCUGAAUGACAACAUCUCCAAGUACCACUGCAGUACCUUCUAAAGCUGGAAGAUAAAGCUGAUGAGAGGGUUACCAUGACUACAGAAGCGGCAUAUUUGAAUGAAAAUUGAUGUUAAGCUUUUAAAUGCUAAUUGCAGCUGGAAACAGGUGACAACUGAAAUAUCCUUUUUUUUUUUUUCCUUUUUUUUUUUAUUUCAACACUUUGUGAUCUAUAAUGAGUAAAAGAAGAGGAUGAAAAAGAUGACAACAUGGAGUUAAAUUAAAACACUAAUAUCUUCUUCAUCAUUAAAUUAUGUCACACCAUUUACUUGUUCAUAGCCAUAGGCAAACACAUUAGAGAUAACUGACAGUCCUGAUGGGUGGAAACUAUGUAUAUAAUGUGAGUAAUACAUUUUGGAGGAAUAUAUUGAGUAAAAUUAAACAGUCUGCUUUAACUACCAUAACAAUAGUUUCCAGCUGCUCAUAAUGAAGAGGCUAUUAAAACUUAAUAUUCAAAAGCUAUUUUCAAAAAUUUU